rnacentral:rRNA from 1 species
AUGCUUAACUGGACAGAAGCGGAAGGGAAAAAGCGAGACGACUAUGACAACAUGCACGGGCGUGGCACCGGCAAUAUUGAAAACUGCGUUAGCGAAGAGUACAGACGUGCUAAGGCAGCACGUGAAGGGACUAUCGCUGAGGAACAAACGAAGAAACCUAAACGGAAAGGUGGUGGCAGGAGUAGAAAGCCAAGCACGUCCGCAGUUUCCUCGAACACGACUUAUAGUAUGGACCAUGUGAUGACAUACAUAAAGCUGCUUCACAAAGAGGUUCUAAAUAUAACCGAAAGAUGUGCACAGAUGGUAAUGGAAAGGUUGAACACGGAUGGUGUGUUGUACAAACACAAUAAGAGGGACAACAAUGAUGAAUUUGAUAAUGUAGGUGAAAGAGUUGGGAUGGAGAAUGGCCAGUACAAGUCAUCAAAAUAUUGGCCAGAUAUUGAUUCACCUACCGACGUAAAGAUAGAAACAUCUUUCACGGGUAUCAAUGAUACAUCCAUGCCCGUUGAUGACACGGGUGCUCCGGCGACGACACCGGGUAAAGGUGAAGCUACUAAUCCUUUCAUUAUAGACGAUAAUGGAAACUCUCCAUCUUCGGCAUCAACUGUACGUACAAAAGACUUUCCGUCUAUGUCCCGAACCCCGAAGAAUGCUGAUAUUUCUGGUGAGUCUACGGAUGCUUUGUCACCAACUAAGUCUGAAGACACGUUCGAGAGUUACCGGCAGAGAGAAACAUAG